AUGGCUGCUGCGGCCUCUUCCUCGGCCUCGCCGGUUCUCCUCCCGUCAGGGCCGCGUGGCGCGAGCUCGAGGGCCUGUCUUCCCAGCGGCGGCGGCGGCGGCAGGGCGUUCAUCAGAGGUGGCAACAGCAGGGCGCCAUGCUGCUGCAGGGCUGCCGCUGGCGUAAGCGCGGCUCAACGCGGAGGAGCUGACGACAACGGCGGCGUGGUCACCCGGAGGGGCGUGGUCGGGGCGGUGGCUCUCGGGGUGUCCUCCUCCGCGUUUUGCCUGCAGGCCGCGCUCGACGCCGUCGCCGGCGGGCUGCCGCCGGAGGAGAAGCCCAAGCUCUGCGACGCCGCCUGCGAGGCAGAGCUCGAAAAUCUGCCUAUGGUGACUACGGAGUCCGGUUUGCAGUACAAGGACAUCAAAGUCGGGCAAGGGCCGAGUCCGCCCAUUGGCUUCCAGGUUGCUGCAAACUGCAUCGCCAUGGUGCCAAACGGACAGAUAUUCGACAGCUCGCUGGAGAAAGGCCAGCCCUACAUAUUCCGUGUUGGCGCUGGACAGGUGAUAAAGGGACUUGAUGAAGGAAUCUUGUCGAUGAAAGUUGGAGGAUUACGUCGAUUGUACAUACCUGGUCAAGUAAGUAGUCUUGCCUUGUCGAGUUUAGCAAAGCAAUGCCAAGAACGAAACAAAACAAAACUAGCUGUUGUGCAAGAAAACUUUACCUUUUCCUCCAAUGACCAUGCGCUGUGUUUCUUCAGUCUGGGAUAUCUGGACAGGAUAGUGAUGAUUUCCCAUCUUCUUGAUCUGAGCAGUUAG
rnacentral:rRNA from 1 species